CAUGAACCCAUGGAUGCAGUACUGCAUGAAGCAACAGGGGGUUGCCAACUUGCUAGCGUGGCCGACCCUGAUGCUGCAGCAACUGUUGGCCUCACCGCUUCAGCCGUGCCAGAUGCCAAUGAUGAUGCCAGGUAUGAUGCCACCGAUGACAAUGAUGCCGAUGCCGAAUAUGAUGCCAUCGAUGAUGGUGCCGACUAUGAUGUCACCAAUAACGAUAGCUAGUAUGAUGCCACCGAUGAUGAUGCCAAACAUGGUUUCACCAAUGAUGAUGCCGAGUAUGAUGCCUUCGACGAUGACGCCGAGUAUGAUGCCACCGAUAAUGAUGCCAAGUAUGAUACCACCGAUGAUGAUGCCGAGCAUGGUGUCAUCAAUGAUAAUGCCAAACAUGAUGACAGUGCCACAAUGUUACUCUGAUUCCAUCUCGCACAUUAUACAACAACAACAAUUACCAUUCAUGUUCAGCCCCACAGCCGUGGCGAUCUCACCCAUGUUUUUACAGCAGCCCUUUGUUGGUGCUGCAUUCUAGAUAUAAGCAUUUGUGUUGUACCCAAUAAUGAAGUCGGCAUGCCAUCGCAUGCGACUCAUUGUUUAGGAAUAAAACAAGCUAAUAAUGACUUUUCUCUCAUUAUAAUGUAUAUCUCUCCCUGUCUGUUUGUGUGUUUGCAAUGUCUUUUAC
rnacentral:lncRNA from 1 species